rnacentral:lncRNA from 1 species
GUCCAGCCCUCUCCAGUGUAUCCACAGCCCCGACCUUUGAUGAGAACUCAGCUGUCCACUGCAAAGGAAAAGCCAAGUGAGACGGGCUCUGGGACCAUGGUGACCAGGCUCUUCCCCUGCUCCCUGGCCCUCGCCAGCUGCCAGGCUGAAAAGAAGCCUCAGCUCCCACACCGCCCUCCUCACCGCCCUUCCUCGGCAGUCACUUCCACUGGUGGACCACGGGCCCCCAGCCCUGUGUCGGCCUUGUCUGUCUCAGCUCAACCACAGUCUGACACCAGAGCCCACUUCCAUCCUCUCUGGUGUGAGGCACAGCGAGGGCAGCAUCUGGAGGAGCUCUGCAGCCUCCACACCUACCACGACCUCCCAGGGCUGGGCUCAGGAAAAACCAGCCACUGCUUUACAGGACAGGGGGUUGAA